rnacentral:tRNA from 1 species
UCCAUCCUAGCUUAAAUAAAAGCAUUGAUUUGAAGCGUCAAAGAUAAACAGUUACUUUGGUUGGAG